rnacentral:lncRNA from 12 species
CUCUUGCAGUCACUGGAAUUGGACUGGAACUCAAGCCUUGAAACACAGGAGAGGUUGGAGAGAGAUAAAUUUGGAGCUCUACAAAAUCCUGUCUCUUGGAGAUUGCUAACACUUGAAAGUGGAAUGAGCUUUUAGAAGUGGAGUCACC